CCUUCUGAAGGACUAGCUCUCAUGCUCUGACAGAGCUGUGCACGGUGUGAGAAGAGCAAAGCCAACAGCAGUCCCAUGCAGACGGAGUGUCCGCUAACCACAACAAGGAGUGAAGCUCUCACCCCUCCUUGAAGAUGCUUCUUUAACAGUGAUGGAGACUUCUACAGGAAGCCACAACUCAUCAACAUGAACAAAGGGGGAUGUGAAGACACGGAUUUCCCUGGGAAAGAGAAACAGAAGAGAUCUCCUGGUAAAGUGGAGUGGCUGCAUCAGGGGCCCCGGGCUCCAGCCUCUCAAUAGAAGAACAUUUGCGGUACACAGCACGUGGUGUUGUAUUAGGAGUCGAUGCUUGGCCCAGCAGUGCCCCCCCCAUGACACUUACUACCUCUUUCAUAUUUAUUAUCAUUUCUGCCAUUUCCAUGUGGUUAAACUACAGCUACUGAUAACAGUCUGCAGGCACCAAAAUGCGUCGUGGAACUUGUAAGGUGUGCCCGACAAUGUAUGUGGGUAGAGAAGUACAACUGAGCUUUCUAAAGUGUCAUAACUUCAUCCACCACACCCCCACACCCCUGCCUGUGGCUUGACCUUUCCUGCCGUGAAUGGUGCCCACACUUCACAUGGGUGGGGCCGUCAUCCACUGCUCUCAUCUGCGAAUAAUCAUUAAUGUUUACUCCUUUCUGUAUGAGGAGCCCUGACACCGUGGCUACGGCAACCCUUAUAAGAGAAAUUGGAGCUGGCUUACAGGUGCAGAGGCGUGGACAGGCAGGCAUGGCGGUGGAGAAGGGACUGAGAGUCCCUGGAUCCCAGGGAGAAGCAAGGGAGACAAAGCCCAGCCCCAGUGACACACUUCAUGCAACGAGGCCACACCUCCUGGUGGCCAACCAAGCAUUCAAAUACAUGAACCUAUGGGGCUGUUCUUACUCAAUCUACCACAGUGUCCAAGAUGGCAUUCUUCCUUGUUUCUGGUGAUGUUCUUUAGUGUUUCAGAGCUGCUCUUAACUCCACACAGCUUUACUCUGUUCCGGAAAGCUGCUUACAUGGCACAUGUCUUCAGCCUGUCUCACCAACCUUGGCUGCCCCACUUCAGUGACAGCAAAUGUCCCUCACCUCAGAACCUGCUCCGGGGGGCUUCAUCCUCCUGAAGAAACUGAAGUGGCUCAGAAAUGCAGUGACUUGGAAACACUGAGUUAUUUGGAAAAUCAGCAGCAACCAGGCAGAUACCAGACCGAAAGAUCUGCAUCUCUCUCCACCAUCAAUGACUUUUACACUCCUUGAAUAAUUAAACACAGUAAGCCACAAUCCACCAAAACUCAGAAA